rnacentral:tRNA from 1 species
CAGCGGGUAGUUUAAAUAAAACAUUAAUCUUGGAGGUUAAUAAUAAAGGGAAUGCUUUUUCUGCUGA